GACGAACGCUGGCGGCGUGCCUAAUACAUGCAAGUAGGACGCAGUUGCGAACGGGUGAGUAACGCGUAGGUAACUACCCAUGAGAGGGGGAUAACUAUCGGAAACGAUAGCUAUAACCGCACACUAGCAGAUGGACCUGCGUGGGGUUAGCUAGUGGGUUGGGUAAAGGCCUACCUAGGCAACGACACAUAGCCGACCGGAGAGGGUGAUCGGCCACACUGGAACUGAGACACGGCCCAGACUCCUACGGGAGGCAGCAGUGGGGAAUAUUGGACAAUGGGCGAAAGCCUGAUGCAGCAAUGACGCGUGUAUGAAGAAGGCCUUCGGGUUGUAAAGUACUUUCGGCAGGGAGGCGGUACCCGAAGAGAAAGCACCGGCUAACUCCGUGCCAGCCGCCGCGGUAAUUC
rnacentral:rRNA from 1 species